UGCUGCACCAAAGCAGAACAAAAAGCCUUUUAGAAAUAGGCAGGUGGUCAGUGUCUCCCACAUGAGAGCAAAAGGACAGGAAUUCCAACUUGGCUACCCACCAUCUCCCACCCUGUGGCACCUCUGAGAUCUGAGUCACUUCAUCAAUAAGAGGUACAGUAGCAUAGCCAUAAUUAAUUACUGCUCCAUCCCAGCUGCAAACCUCCUUCCCUUCAAGGUUCCCACCCUGGGAUGGCAUGGUUAGAUUGCAGGGAUCAUGCAGUGGCCACCCAUUGAGGUCCCCUCCACUACCAUGAGCCUUCUCCAAAGCCAUCUUUGGGCCAAGGCCAGUCAGGAGACCCAUGUCUGGAUGAGGCUGACUUGGGUGGGAGGAAAGCACCAGGGAAGGGCACAUGCAGAGUGUGUAACCCCAACUGCUCUCACCUGCCCUGCUCCAGACAGAUCUCCUUUCACUCUGUCCUUGGUGGGGGCAGGCAAGGACAUGGCCAUUCACUCAGGGGGGAAGUGCAAAAGCAAAGGACAAGAGCAGUUAGGGAAAAACGCUUUAAUAAGGAGCCGAGUGAACAAUAAAGAGAAGCACUUGAUUUUUUUUUCCCUCUCAAUUUUUUUUGUGUGCAUCCUCCAAAAGGAAAAUAUCUGGUCCCCUCCAUGCUCGGUCUCCAGCAGCCCCUCUGAAGGACUGCCAUGGGCAGCCCCACAUGGGAAACACCAUCCCUACCAGCCCUGGGGUGCCAGUAUCACUGCCUCCACCCCACUCCACUUGCCAGCUUGGAAACUCAGGGACAGCUCCAUGAUCUAAAACAUUCUGCUGCUUUCCCCUGCUCUCCUAUCUUUUAGUGCCUCAUUGCUACCUGCAAACAGAGGGGCCUUGAGCCCCAGCUGCUGCAGCUCUGACAGAGCCUUUCCCUACCUCUUGCAUGUCCCCUCCCAAAAACCCACAUGUCCCAUUUUAGCUGCCACAAGAAUUAAUUCCUAUUCCUUUGUAAUGAACUGCAUGUGCUGCCUGCUAGCCUCAGUUUAAAGGAAAAAAAUAACUCCUGGUUGCUGCCACCUGCUUGCAACAUUCCCUAAUGCUGCACAGGGUUGGGAACACCUUAUCAAGCUCAAGAGGAGGCCAGGGCUGGCUGGCCAGGGGCAUCUGUAUCCUGUACUUCUCCAGCUUGAUUUAGUGAGUAGUGGCAUUUUGGCUACUGGGAGUGGUUCUUCUGGAGACCAAGAGGUGUGGGCACCUACACUGGGGUGCCCAGACCUGGGUCUGGCUGGGCAGGCACAGUGCCCAGCACGGUCAGGCAUCUGUAGGCAUCUCACUGCAGUGAUAUGGGCACUGAGCAGAGCUAAAGGAGCUGGGAGCUGAUUUCCCGGCAGGUGCCUUCAUAGAGGGAAGUGAUUUGAGGAAACCAAGAGCUCUCUCAUCCUCUACCCUCUUCCUACCAGAACUCUCCCCGUCUUAUUUAAAUUCAGCUUUGGCAGAUGCUCUUUUUACAGGAGCUAAUUUCGGCAAAGUGUCAAGAAAUCCCCGGAGAUGAUGCUAUUUACAAGGCACGAGGGCGGCACGGAGCUAGGUUUUAUCCGGUGUCGCCGGCAUUUCAGCCCCUGUUGUCGCUUCCUUCCUCUCGCAUGAAGUCCUGCGGGAAGAGGAAGGCAAGUGUGAGGGACCAGGAGCUGGGGGUUUGUUGCACCCACAGCCUCUCUAGGAGCAGAAGAUAGGGCAGGCUGAAGGCAGCCAGCUCCUUGCAGAAACAACAGUCACGCGAGCGCUGUCACGCUGCUCCCUGACUUUCGCCCAAGAGAGGUUGGGUCCUGCCAGGGGAACCAAAGCCAUGCAUUAGCUCUGAGCCUGGAUGCAGAUAGGGAAUCUUUAUAAUGCUGGAGGGAGGAAGUGUAGGACAGUUUUGCAUGGGGAAGGUAUGUUUUUCAACCACAAGCACCUGCAAAAAGCUGCCCAAGACAUACAGCACAGGGAAGCACCAGGAUCUGCAGCCACCCAGCUGAGAACAGGGAGUAGGGAGCAGUGGCAGGGAAAUAUAUCUGGGAGGGCAGGCAGUGGGGAGGUGGACAGCAAAGAGAGGAACCAGCUGAACUUGGCUCAGUCUGUCAGUCAGUUCCUCAGCACUACCACAGACCUCAUCCUGCAGGGAUUUGCAAUUUGCUGUCUGGGGCUUGUCAAACGGAACUUGGAAGAGUCGCUCUGUGGAGGCUGCACAGCUCCUGAGCAAACAGGGCUGGACGUUCCAGUGAGCAUUGGAGGCUUUGCACAGUCACAGGUGACUGGGAAGGGGCAGGUUAACAAACAUCUCACUCUGUGGCUGUUCCUUCCUGCCACCAGCAGCAAUUCACACUGAGAAAUGCGCAGCUGGGAUAAUAAUAACCAGGCAUACCAAGGGACCAAUAGCUCUCAGCACUUUCAGGGCACAUGCCCAACGAAUUAUUCUCCUCCAGGGCAAACCUAUUUUCAUUCUAUUAAUGAUCCCUGAUACAUUGCCCAGUUCCUGUAUCCUCGCUUGUAGCAGGAUGGUACAAGGAUCUUCAGUAAACACCAUCGGCCGGUUUCUGCAACGGAUAUCAUGGCCAACUAAAUGUCUUCCAUGGCUGUGCUGGUGGGAUAGAGGGGUGAGGGAGACCUGAAGCAGGUCCCUUCAGCAGAGCCCAGGCUCCCUCCCUGCAAAGGAGAGUCUGGAGGCUCUAUUUAAUAGCAAUCAACUGCAGCAGAAUUCCUGCCAACCUCACAAUGCCCACAGUUGCUCUCCCCAUCACCUGGCAGAGAUGCUCCUGCCUUGUUCUAGAAGCAUGGGCUGUCUGUGGGCUGCCUUUGUGCCCCUCUCUCUGUGCCAGGGGAGAGCCUUGCUGCUGCUUGGGCACAGCAAUUACAGCACUGACAUGUCUUGUGGUCUGCAGGUGCCCACUCCUUGUGUGUGCCUCACAUCUCCAGCCUGAUGGAGCACAGGAAAGGUUUGACAAUGUGACCAGGGCACAAGUUCACCACUCCAAGACAGAGUCAGAGCAUUUCCAUGUCAUGUCUUUAAGAGAAUCAGUUGCUGUUUUUUCUGUCCUGUACCUUGAUCUCCAGCUGGUUGUGCCUAGUGUGACCCCACCAGACAUCAUUUUCCCCAUCAUCUUUCACUAGUCCCAAGCUGUCCUUGGGUGUGCUUACCCACACUUAGACCUAGUGGGAGCCAAACACACCCCACUUGGGCUCUACAAGGCUGUCACAGAUCUCCUGGCUGGCUCUGCAUAAGCCAAUGUGACCUUGGGGCCACAAAGCCCCAGAAGUUGACUCUCUGGGGCUCCUCACCAGGAGCCAUCCCUGAAGGAACCAGUACCAUCAUCAGAGUGGGUCAGUUUGUGGCUCUGAAAGGCAAGGGCUCAGCACCACCCUGCCCAGAACUGGGGAUGCCCUGGGCAACACAGACCUGCCCAGAGGGACCUUUCCCCACAUCCAGGGCCCAGGAAGAGUUAUCCCAUCCUCGAUUAUUUCCACCUGCAUGGGAGACGAGAAGGGGAGCUCUUUUGCCUGGCGAGCCCUGCUCCAAUUUGCCCCUUCCAGACGGAGCAAAGCCCAUUCAGCAGCUCCCACCACCCGCAGCCAUGGGGAUACCGGUGCCUCAUCCGCGCAGUGCUGCCCCAGGACACGCUUUCUGGCACGGAAACCCCCCCAGCCGCGGGGAGCAAAACGAACGCUGGUCUCCUUGGGGCACCCGCGCUGAAGGGGAGGUGGGUCUGGCCGGCCCGGCCCUGCCCCUUUAAAGCAAAAAGCGCUGCUCGGAAAUUUGUGAAUGGGUGGCCCCGCCCCCGCCCCGCUCGGCCAAUCAGCGAGCGCGCCGCGGGGCCGCAGCCGGAGCACGGGUCUCUCUUAAAGGCGCACCGUCCCCACUCGCCCGCCCCCGCCACGACACAAGACAGCACCGCUUCGGAAGCCCCGAGGUGACCUUCAAAGCGGCUCCCAGCCGCCGGGUGAGGAGUUCCUGAGGCACAGCCACACCCAUCCGUUCCUUAAGAGUGACACACUAGCAACACAAGCCCCGGAGGACAGAUGAUGACGGAUGAGGUGCGGUUUCCCUCACCCUGGCUUCAGGGUUUGGCUUGGACAUGGGAUGGUCAGGUCCCGGGGACUGAACAUUCAUGCUGGCCAAAGCACACAGCUGGGCUGAGUUUCCCCCAAAGGCCAUGAGCUGCCAAGCCAUGGUGCAGGGAGAGCAGGCAGCUGGGAGAGUGGUUUCAUCACCCUGCUCUUGUUUUGGAACAGAUGAAGAAUGUGGGAGAGCUCCCACAGCCCCAGAACCCCAAAGCUUACGAAACCUCCCUGCAAAAACACCCUGUGAGAUUCAGCUGUGCAAAAUCUACCCCUGCACAGAGGGGAAUAGCUAUGUGGUACCUGCCAAGGGAGAGGGAACGAACAGCGCAGAAUGGGACUGCAAUACACAUGUGAAGCAGCGUGCAGAUCUUGCCCCUGGCUUCAGCAAUAAACCCAGCUCCAGGUCCAGCCUGGUCUCCCCUUGCACUGCAGUGCAGUGCCCCCUCCUUGCUCUGCCUCAGCUCCUCCCGCAGUCUGCUGUAGCCCAGGCUGUGAAAUGAUUGGAUCUAAAAAUACCCUUUGAAAGGGGGGGAACAGCCUGGCAGGACAUUGCCAUGUUUCCUGGACACGUGCAGGUGGGAAGCUGGUUGUGAGCUGGGCAAGUAAUGUCAGCCAGACAGGAUGGUCUCUGUGCCAGGGCUUUGGGCACAGGCCCUGGUGUACCUGAGCAGUGCCAGCCCCAAGAUCUAUCCAGGCCACAGACUGCAGGAGGCCUUUGCCUGAGGCUGAAUACUUGGAAUAAUUUUUAGGUACAAUGCCAGUGAGACUCCUGCAAGGUGCUUUGUACCUGCAGGCUGCAGGGCUCAGGCAGGUGCUGCCCUGGGGCAAACCCUCUCUUCCCACAACAGGGCAUGAGAUUGGCUCCAAAUGCUGGCACUGAUGCAGCCAUGCACAGCCUGAACCCCCAGAGCAGGCAGGGCAAAGCCAGAGGAGCCAGCACACAGCAGAGAGCACCUUCCCAAGGACUCACCCUUGGAUUCACAAGAGGGAUGAUUUCCAAACCCACACUCAGUUACUGUCGUCCCCCUGCACUUCCCCCAGCUCCUACCAAUGCCGAGGAUAAUGCAUCUCUCAGCGUAGCUUGAUACUGAUCCUCCAAAUCCUAAAGACUAUAAACCUUCAUGAGCAGUUAUCGUGGCUGCUCUAUUUAUAACAGUGCUGGUACUGCCUCUGCCACCAGAAUCCUGAUCUCUGUCCAGCCUCAUGCCAUUAAGAUGCAGUGACAUUCCCCCAGCUCCAGCACUCCAGAUAGAAAGCAGCUGGCCUGCCAGGCUCUGCCUUCAAGCUUGGUUUGUUUCUUUAAAAAAUGGCGAGGAGAGCCUGUUUGCUUUGCAGAAAUGCACCCCGGGUGAACUGUCCCCACCCUUCUGAGGUGCUGGGGUGGCUAAGAGGGGGAGUGGAGUGUGGAUGGGUAGAAGACAGGGUGGCACAUCGCAGACUGUGGGUAUGGAGGCUCCACACCUGGGAGCCCUUGGUGGGUUUGUGCUACAGGAGACGGUCUCCAGGGCUUCACUUUGGUUGCUGCAGGAAUAUGGUCAGUCACCUGACAAGGCAAAGCAGGAAAGGAGGAACCUGCGAGGUGCUGUGCAGACCCUGCACCGGCUCAUCUUGGAAACUUGAGUUACGCAUGAAACCCAUCAGUGUGAACCUCGGCAUGGAAGUUGCUCCUGCAGCUGUGCUCCCCUGCGGAUGGGCAGGCACAGACAGGAGAUGAAGGCAAACAGAGCUGAAGCAUUAAUCUGGAGAGAGGAUGAAUGGACUCCAGUUUGUCUGGAUGACUGGAGCAUGGCUGUCUGUGGCUUCCCAGAGCCUCUUCCUCACUUUUCCCUUCCUGCCACUGCAUGGGGAGUGCUGCAUGCACUCACACCAUCAAAAUAACUUCAAAACAGGGACAAUGACUUUGAUGAAUGGAGAGACCAACAGUCCCAUGUCCAGCAAGGCUUUCCUAUGCAGCCAGAAACACCUUUGUGUCUGCCAAGGAUCUUCCUUUUGCUGCAGGUUUUAGACAAAAAGCCCUCAAGUAGAGUAGCAAUAGGUGGCCAUGCAUGAGAUUUUGGUUUGACAGCCUGGUGGCUCUACUGACUUCUUCAUCCUUUGCUGAAGCUGUAUAUUGAAGUGGGAGAACUGAAGUCUAGGCAUGUUCAUCUCUGCAGCAGGAAUAGCAAGAGCCUCUAGUAAAGCUGAGGCCGUUCAACCCCAAAAUGUCCACCAAAGUGACAGCUCUUACUGACACAGCCCUUGCUGACCCCCCCUUUGAGCAGCAGCAUCAGUGGGACACAGGCAGCCAGCUGCCCAGCUGGGUGCUCGUGCUGUGCAGGGCUGAUGUGUGUUCAAUCUGUGUGUGUUACUGCAGACAGACACCCUCUUGGGUUCAGCACUUUGGAGCCUAUGUCUACAAUGUCAAAACACAAAACUGCUGGAGAGCAUCUGAAUGGCCUGGGGCGACCUCCAGGCACAAAGUGGCUCAAGUGACUCUGGGGCAGCAGCCGGGGCCUGUGAGCUGUGGGUUGCUGCUUUUCUUCUCUGCUUCUCCUAAAAUAAACAUGCUCUCAGA